rnacentral:rRNA from 1 species
UCCUGGCUUAAAUCUACAUGGCCCCUGGAUUGGACUGCGGCCGAUCAGGCUGUUGGUGAGGUAAUGGCCCACCAAACCUAUAACCGGUACGGGCUCUGAGAGGAGAAGCCCGGAGAUGGGCACUGAGACAAGGGCCCAGGCCCUAUGGGGCGCAGCAGGCGCGAAAACUCUGCAAUGGGCGAAAGCCUGACAGGGUUACUCUGAGUGAUUUCCGCUAAGGAGAUCUUUUGGCAGCUCUAAAAAUGGUGCAGAAUAAGGGGUGGGCAAGUCUGGUGUCAGCCGCCGCGGUAAUACCAGCACCCCGAGUGGUCGGGACGAUUAUUGGGCCUAAAGCAUCCGUAGCCGGUUGUGCAAGUCCUCCGUUAAAUCCAGCCGCUCAACGGAUGGGCUGCGGAGGAUACUACAGAACUAGGAGGCGGGAGAGGCAAGCGGUACUUAGUGGGUAGGGGUAAAAUCCUUUGAUCCAUUGAAGA